AGCACGUCAAAUCCCCGCGUACAGCCUGAGGAAGUCAAGGAGAGAUACAUGGCUUGAGGAGCAAGAAAAGACUCAAAGAAUAACCCCUGCAAGUAGCAGAUCCGGGGUCCACGUGAACAAGGAGGUGCCCGGGAGAGGCUGAGUGAGGGAUGCUGCUUUGAGAGGAUGCCAAGGUUAACUGGGAAGCUUGUAGUUUUUAUGAGCUCCAGAAUAUUAUGGAUAUGGUCACACAAAGGUUCCAAAGAGCUCACCCACCCGUCAUCAGGGCCUGCGUGUUUUGAAGGGCUUCCCCCGCUGGUCUGUUCAAUUUAUGGCAUCAUAGUUCUGAAGUUCCCGUAUCCUAGAGCCACCUAGCUGAGUGAUUCUGGCCCAGGGUCUCGGCAGUCAAGCUGUCUCCCAGCUCUGCAGUCAUCUCAUCUGGCUUGACCAGGACUGAAGGGUCAGCUUUCGAGCUCACUCAAGUGUGAUGAGCAGGCCUCAAUCGCCUCAGACGACCAUCUACUAUCGCCAUCCUUAACAUAAAGGAGGCUACGUUUGUAUCAUCACAAUUGCGCGAUUGAACUAUAGGGGAAGAGAAAUGUCUUUUGGUUUCUGAAUGCUUCCUCUUGAUGUUUCUGUUGCCCUUAAAAGAAAUUUCAGUGAUGGUCCGGAUGACUGGAGGCCACAGUGAGUUAUUGAAUUCAACCCCUCUGAGAGGCUCUGGGCUUUCCUGUGAUGGUGACAAGAUUGUCCAUGCUGGUCCGAGCAUCCUGUCUUUGCACAUCAGUGACCCGGGCCGGCAAGAAGAAGGGCAUGGCUUCCCCGCAGUGAGUUCUGUGUCAGUGCAGAGGUUCUCUUCAGGGUGAAGAGCCAAGGCUGUUCCUCCGGGAGGAUCAGCCCACGGUCCACAUCAAUUAAGUGAAAGAGCCUACAGAUUAGUUACCUGCUUAAGUGUGUGUACCAAGUCAACUUGUCUACUUGGCAGUUAUCUCUUCUUUAUAAAAUAGGACACAAGAGAAAACAUUUGACUUGUGUUUGGUCAGAUUUCCAAUAAAUAGAUAAUUUUAACCCAGAAUAUUUUGAAUAAUCUCAUUAACAUACCUCUGCAGUUGACUUCUCUGGAUUCAAUCUGAAUAUUGCUAGCAAUCGACUGUGACUACACUGGGCCAAACUUCAGAGUCUGGAAUCAUAAAGACCUAAGUUACAGGUAAUGGAGAUGACACCAGUGUCUGGGGCAGUUCAGUAGCAGCAUGAGCAUCAGCCUGAAUGGUGCUCCGAAUACCUAAGUGGGAAACAGAAGGAGAUAGAAGAGUGGACCAUGCAGAGUAUGGAGCAACUCCGAGUGGAGCUGGCCUGGGUCUUGAUGAUUCUAUGGCUCAUCGGGUAUAUAAUCAAUGCCCUGCAGAUUCUGCUAGAAGAGAGCCUUCUGGAAUAGGACUGAAGUUCUGCAUUAUGAAGGAAAAAAUAAAGAACGGUCUGCAUUCAAACCUCUGCCCCAUUAUAAAGAAAUUCUCUAAGAGGAACUGGGAAGUGCUACUAGAGUGUUGGAGAGCUCGGAUAAAGGUCAUAAUGGGAGUCAUGGAAGGGACUGGAGAGCUGUCAUCCUUUGCUAAUACGUUUUGCAAUGACUGUUUAAAAGCAA
ensembl:lncRNA